rnacentral:rRNA from 1 species
CGUAAAAGAAACCUGCCUCAUAGACUGGGACAACUAUUGGAAACGAUAGCUAAUACCGGAUAACAGUAUUUCUCGCAUGAGAGAUAUUUAAAAGUUGGUUAUGCUAACACUAUGAGAUGGCUUUGCGGUGCAUUAGCUAGUUGGUGGGGUAAAGGCCCACCAAGGCGACGAUGCAUAGCCGACCUGAGAGGGUGAUCGGCCACACUGGGACUGAGACACGGCCCAG